AUGUAUUUGAGGUUAGGCUACCACCAAAUCAAGAUCAGAAACGGGGACUUUCCUAAAACGGCUGUUGUCACUUGUUAUGGACAGUACGAGUACACCGUCAUGUCCUUUGGUCUAACCAAUGCUCUAGCCACAUUCUCCCGCUUGAUGAACUCGAUCUUCAUGGAGUUCUUAGAUAAGUUCAUCGUGGUUAACCUCGAUGAUAUCCUUAUUUACUCGAAGAACGAGGAAGAGCAUGCCGAACAUCUUAGACUUGUGCUAGAAAAACUUAGGGAGCACCGCCUUUAUGCCAAGUUCUCCAAGUGUGAAUUUUGGUUGCUAGAAGUGACCUAUCUGGGCCAUGUGAUAUCUGAUAAGGGCAUUGCUGUCAAUCCUGAGAGAGUUCAGGCCGUCCUUGAUUGGACUCCACCUGAAACAGUUAAACAAGUUAGGAGUUUCCUUGGUCUAGCCAGUUAUUGUCGCGCUUUGUUGAAAACUUCUCUAAAGUGGCCAAACCCCUCACGGAACUUCUCAAGAAAGAUAAAAAGUUUGAGUGGUCCCCACAGUGUGAGUAUAGUUUUCAGGAACUGA
rnacentral:rRNA from 1 species